CAGCGUUUGUUCAGUUUUAAUGUAUUUCAUUUUUAAAAAGAAAAUUUUAAAAACAGUUCUCGAACCCUCAAUUUGCAGUUGGUCAUAAAAUUAUGCUAUACCCUUUAAAAACAGCCGUACUUAUGAAAAUUGUCACUUCGACUUGUGGCUGAAAAGAAUACAACACCAAAACAGAAAGACUUGACGAAAAAAAACUAUACAAGAAAAGACAAAUAAUUUAAAAUGUAUGCAAUUGCUGAUGUAAGAAAUUUUAUAUUAUCAACCAUUAGCCUGAUUACGGCGACAUUGGCACCAUAUGCACCGUCCUUAGGCACGCCUGAUGUUGUUAUACAAUUACGGGGUAUUUUGGCAGACGCAGACGCUUUGUUGUCGACCCACAACCCGUUCAUCCCAACUAGACCAGCCACGCCUAGCCAGGAAAAAGAAACAUUGUUAGCAUACACUGACUACAUAUUGGCACGUUUGAGGUUGGUGGCCGACACAAAUCCGGGGUUCAAGAAGCCAAUGGAUAUUUUAGAGACUUACAGGGAAUUGGCCGACUGGAACUCACCGGCACUUUAAAAUGUAAAUCAAAAAUAAAAAAAAAAUAUUGAAAAAAAAAAAACAAAACAUUGUUAGCUUCUUGCUU